rnacentral:lncRNA from 10 species
GCGUCAGAGAACUGCCUCGAGCGCGUUUUCCGCGCAGAUCCGAGAAUUCGCGAGAAUCUCCGCCCAGCCAGUUCAGGCCAGGGCGGUCAGAGACAAAGGGCCUGGGUUUAAGUGUGCAUUUCAGAGCUGUAGAAGGACGUUCUAAAGAGCUUAAUGUAGCCAUUGGCGAGCCUAAUGCUAACUGAACUGGAUAAUAAACAGAGAUGUGGGUGUAGUCAGAAAAGAAUGCACCUUCCUUUGAGCCAGGAGGAAAGAGUUGAUAUCUGAAACAGAGAGGAGAAUGUGAAUGCAAGUAUGUUCAAGUGGAGUGAAGAAGAGAAGAUUUUGGGUAGAUAAUAACCUCUGAACCUAGCUGUACGUUAUAAGCUGUCCUUUGAAGAGAACACUGUGGCAAGGAACUGAGUGAAGGAGGCCUCUGGCCUACACCCAGUGAAGAACUACACGAGUGAGCUUGGAAACAGACCCUCAGUCCAGCCUUCAGGUCUUCCUGUCCAUAAGAAACUCUGAAAGCUCUGAAAAGGAGAAGGCUGAAGAAGAAGUAAAAGGAAUAAAGAAAUACUGAGAGUAAAGGUAAAACGCUAGAAGGCUGUAAAUGCUCCAAGGAAAGAUUAACUCCAUCUUCAAUAGGAGGUGAAGCAAUGAUCACAGAAUCCAGCUGUGCAACUCCAAGGACUGAACAGGCU